GAAGGCGGACUAAGGUUUGGACUCAGACGUCAAGUGGAUGGACUCCUGUGUAUUCCUUGGAUUACAAAUCUCUACCGCUAUGCAUAAAAUGGUCUCCAGUUAUAAGUGGAGUCCUUGAAGGGAAUGUACACAUAUGUUAGUUGUGGGGCAUGAGGAUGGUCUAGUCACGGUGUGGGUAGUGCCCCAGAGUCCAUCUGCGUCUGGGGAUUCGGAAUAUAGGGGCAGCUCACAGCAUGGGGAAGGUGCUGAGUCAUGUGACCCAAGGUGCCAGCUGCAGCUACGAGGCCACCAGAGUCCAGUCACUUCCUUGGCCAUCUCAACUUCGGGUCUUAUGCUGGCCACAGGU